rnacentral:rRNA from 1 species
CCUACGGGUGACAGCAGUGAGGAAUAUUGGUCAAUGGCCGAGAGGCUGAACCAGCCAAGUCGCGUGAGGGAAGACGGCCCUACGGGUUGUAAACCUCUUUUGUCGGGGAGCAAAGCGAACCACGUGUGGUUCAUUGAGAGUACCCGAAGAAAAAGCAUCGGCUAACCCCGUGCCAGCGGCCGCGGUAAUACGGAGGAUGCGAGCGUUAUCCGGAUUUAUUGGGUUUAAAGGGUGCGCAGGCGGAGGUGCAAGUCAGCGGUCAAAUUGCGGGGCUCAACCCCGUACUGCCUUUGAAACUGGAACCCUAGAGUGCGCGAGAGGUAUGCGGAAUGCGAGGUGUAGCGGUGAAAUGCAUAGAUAUCACGCAGAACUCCGAUUGCGAAGGCAGCAUACCGGCGCGCAACUGACGCUCAUGCACGAAAGCGUGGGUAUCGAACAGGAUUAGAUACCCGUGUAGUC